UACCCAGCAACUCCUAUCCCUACCUCCUCGCGGUACCGGCCGGAAACUAUGAGCAACCUUAGGGAAGAUCAGGUAACCAACUACGGUGGGAACUUUGGUCAUAGGCUGACAGGGAAGG
rnacentral:ribozyme from 1 species